rnacentral:tRNA from 1 species
CUUAGAUGACUGAGUUGAUAAGUAUUAGAUUUUUAAUCUAAAGACGGCAAAUAAGUUAUAUGCCUCUAAGGAU